rnacentral:lncRNA from 1 species
CUCUUGCUCUUGCCUUCUUGCUCCUGCUCUGUCUCCUUGCCCCUUCCCCCUUCUCUCUCUCUCUCUCUCUCUCUCUCUCUCUCUCUCUCUCUCUCUCUCUCUCUCUCUCUCUCUCUCCCCUCCCUCUCUUCCUCUCUCUUUCUCUCUGCCUCUACUACCCUCUUAACUCCCCUCCCCAUGCCCUGAAUAAACUGUAUUCUAUAUUAUACCAUCCUAUGGGUGGUCUCUAAGGGGAAAGGGAUGCCUCAGCAUGGGCCCACCGAGGCACCCCUCCCCCCACACCUGACUAUACCUCCACCAAAACAUAUCCCCUCCUCUCUUUAUCUUUUUAUAAACACAUUAGCACCCACAAGGCAGCUCACAACCAUCUGUAACUCCAGUCCCAGGAGAUACAGGGUUCUCUUCCAGCCUCCACAGGCAAUGCAUGUACGUGCAGGCAAAACAUCCAUAUGAAGUAUAUAUUUUGUUUGUUUCUUUUUUUCUAGACAGGGUCUCCCUGUGUAGUCUUGGCUGGUCUGGAGCUUGCUCUGACCUUGAACUCAGAGCGCCACCUGUCUCUGCCUUCUGUGCCACCACUGCCUGCCCAGCCAAAACAAGUUUUUAAUGAAAAAAAAAGUUUUUAAGAAAAAUUAAUGGCACGAGCAUAAAUAAAUAAUUGCACCACUAGAAUAGGGAACAAAAUACCCAUUGAAGGAGUUACAGAGACAAAGUUUGGAGCUAAGAGAAAAAGAUGGACUAUCCAGAGACUACCCCACCCGGGGGUCCAUCCCAUAAUCAGCCACCAAAACCAGACACUAUUGCAUAUGCCAGAAAGAUUUUGCUGAAGGGACCCUAAUAUAGCUGUCUCGUAUGAGGCUAUUCCAGUGCCUGGCAAAUACGGAAGUGGAAUGCUCACAGUCAUCUAUAGGAUGGAACACAGAGCCCCCAAUGGAGGAGCUAGAGAAAGUACCCAAGGAGCUGAAGGUCUGCAACCUUAUAGGUGGGACAACAAUAUGAACUAACCAGUACCCCCAGAGCUCCUAUCUCUAGCUGCAUAUGUAGCAGAAGAUGGCCUAGUUGGCCAUCAGUGGAAAGAGAGGCCUCUAGGUCUUGCAAACUUUAUAUGCCUCAGUACAGGGGAACACCAGGACCAAGAAGUGGGAGUGGGUGGGUAGGGUAGCAGGGAAGGGGGAGGGUAUAGGGAACUUUCGGGAUAGCAUUUGAAAUGUAAAUAAAGAAAAUAUCUAAUAAAAAAAUAAGAAAGUAAUUACAUAGGUACUGAGAACUAGACCAAGGUCCUCUUCAAUACCAACAAUGAACCAUGAACAACAACAACUCUUAACCAUGAAGCCAUGGGGGGGGUGUGGUAUAGGGGUCUUUCGGAGAGGAAACUAGGAAAGGGGAUAGCAUUUGAAAUGUAAAUGAAGAAAAUUCUAAU